rnacentral:rRNA from 1 species
AUUCCAGCUCCAAUAGCGUAUAUUAAAGUUGUUGCAGUUAAAAAGCUCGUAGUUGAAUCUGUGGUUGUUCCUGGGGUCCAAAAUGAUUUGGUAUCAAAGGAGUCACCAUCAUUGUGUCAAACCUGCGAGGCAUUAGGUUGUUUUGUGGGAGAUGCACAUCUUUUACUGUGAAAAAAUUAGAGUGUUCAAAGCAGGCUUAUGCCAUUGAAUAGAUUAGCAUGGAAUAAUGAGAUAGAACUUGGGUGCUAUUUUGUUGGUUUGUGCAUCAGAGUAAUGAUUAAUAGGGACAGUUGGGGGUAUUCGUAUUCCAUUGUCAGAGGUGAAAUUCUUGGAUUUUUGGAAGACGAACUACUGCGAAAGCAUUUACCAAGGAUGUU